ACGUGAAGAACUUCUGGUGGUCAGCCAUAUUGGAUUCGUCUCAUUCUGUAGUUUUGGUUAAAAGAAAUUAAAAUGAAUGGUGAAAAGAAAAGUAGAUUCCGUUUCACAGAAUUAGAAAGAAUAAAAGCUCUGGAAGAGUUUUUUAAUCAAGUUUGCGAAGAUAUUACAAACUGAGAAGAAGAGUUAUGGGGAAGCAUACACACUGUUCUUUGCCGAGAUUCUUUAAGGUAAGUGCUUAUAUUUCGUUAACUGAAUAGUUUUGAUAUAAAAAGUAAUAAUAUGCUCAUGUAUAUUUAGGUUUACGUCUUGUAGCUUGAGAUUAUUAAAAGAGCAUAUACUCGAUCAAAUAAAAAAAUAUAAAAUGUACGAUUCUAUGGAGGCGAAGGAAAGUGGCCGUGAGAGAUUGCAAACAGCAUGGGGAGAUAUAAUUCGACGAAUUAUGAUUGUAUGCCCAAAUUAUGAGAGAUUGGUGAAAAGAGAUGCCAUAUUAAAAGUAACAAAGGACAAAGGCACAACAAAAGAGGCAGGCAAACAACAGAGUGAUGUGGAAAUUGCCCGAAGUAUUCGUAAUGCUGCGUUAGGAAUGUUAUCUCUUGGAAAUGCUGAUGAUGAAAGCAACAAAGAAAAUGUACAUAUUUAAGAUGAAG
rnacentral:lncRNA from 1 species